rnacentral:rRNA from 1 species
UUAUAAGUGGUGAAGUGGGGACGAAGAAGGCUAGGUGAGCCAGGCGUUGGUUGUCCUGGUACUUGCAUGUAGGGGGGAAGACUUGGCAAAUCCGGUUUUCCAUAACUCUGAGGUGCGAAGUGGUUCUGACCUUUUGGUACAGAGAAGUCAUUGAUGCCCGGCUUCCAGGAAAAGCUGCUAGCCAUAACUUAUAGAGAACCGUACCGCAAACCGACACAGGUGGACAGGUAGAGAAUACUAAGGCGCUUGAGAGAACUCGGGUGAAGGAACUAGGCAAAAUGGUACCGUAACUUCGGGAGAAGGUACGCCCUUUUGGGUGAGGGCAUUUACUGUCUGAGCUUAAGAGGGCCGCAGAGACCAGGUGGCUGCGACUGUUUAUUAAAAACACAGCACUCUGCAAAUUCGUAAGAAGACGUAUAGGGUGUGACGCCUGCCCGGUGCCGGAAGGUUAAUUGAUGGGGUUAUCUUCGGAGAAGCUCUUGAUCGAAGCCCCGGUAAACGGCGGCCGUAACUAUAACGGUCCUAAGGUAGCGAAAUUCCUUGUCGGGUAAGUUCCGACCUGCACGAAUGGCGUAACGAUGGCCACACUGUCUCCACCCGAGACUCAGUGAAAUUGAAAUCGCUGUGAAGAUGCAGUGUACCCGCGGCUAGACGGAAAGACCCCGUGAACCUUUACUAUAGUUUUGCACUGGACUUUGAUGAUGACUGUGUAGGAUAGGUGGGAGGCUGUGAAGUGAGGACGCUAGUUCUCAUGGAGCCGCCCUUGAAAUACCACCCUGUUGUUAUUGAGGUUCUAACUUGGUCCAGUAAUCCUGGAUGAGGACAGUGUAUGAUGGGUAGUUUGACUGGGGCGGUCUCCUCCCAAAGAGUAACGGAGGAGCACAAAGGUACCCUCGGUACGGUCGGACAUCGUACCAAGAGUGUAAAGGCAAAAGGGUGCUUGACUGCGAGAGUGACGGCUCGAGCAGGAACGAAAGUUGGUCUUAGUGAUCCGGUGGUUCUGAAUGGAAGGGCCAUCGCUCAACGGAUAAAAGGUACUCCGGGGAUAACAGGCUGAUACCGCCCAAGAGUUCAUAUCGACGGCGGUGUUUGGCACCUCGAUGUCGGCUCAUCACAUCCUGGGGCUGAAGCAGGUCCCAAGGGUAUGGCUGUUCGCCAUUUAAAGUGGUACGCGAGCUGGGUUUAGAACGUCGUGAGACAGUUCGGUCCCUAUCUGCCGUGGGCGUAGGAAAAUUGAGAGGAGCUGCUCCUAGUACGAGAGGACCGGAGUGGACGAACCUCUGGUGCACCGGUUGUCACGCCAGUGGCAUGGCCGGGUAGCUAAGUUCGGACGGGAUAACCGCUGAAAGCAUCUAAGCGGGAAGCCUCCCUCAAGAUGAGUUUUCCCAUGAAGCCCGUUGAAGACUACGACGUUGAUAGGCAAGGUGUGGAAGCGCAGUAAUGCGUGAAGCUAACUUGUACUAAUUGGCUGAUUGUCUUGACCAUAUAAUCUGAG